GGGCCAUUGCUAAGUGGAAGAGCAUCUGGUUUACACACAGAAGGUCCCGGGUUCAAUCCCCAAUGGCAUCU